GUCUUCAUUCCAAGCGGAGGGCGGGCUACAGAUAGAGGAUUGGGUGUCUCUUCCAAGCUCCAAGUCCUUCACAGAAAUGGGCUACUGUGCAUGUUUUCUUCCCAACCUUGAGGUCACCUGUGUGGAUAGAGGUUUUGAAAGAUUUCAGACUCUGGGCACAGAGGUCAUAUCCCGCCUUGACUCUCGCCACGCCUUCCUUGACUUCACAGGUGCUUUCCCUUCAGAAGGCCCUGCUCUGAGCGGCCCCUCUUCCCCGACCCACUCCUUCCAAGACGCAGUACUCGGCAUAGGACGCCCACCUGCCCGCCUUGCGCGGGGCUGACCUGGACAUCCCUGCCCGGGGCUCACACCCCUGCAGGACUGGGGGUAGAUGGAGCCAAAGAGGAUGUCCCCCAGGCUCUACAGACUCAGCAACUUGGGGUGGAGAAUGAGAGUGGAUCAGUCAUUGGAUUGAUGAGAAAAGUGUCGUUGAAAGAGACUACGGUUGAAGCCGGGCCACCGAACAACACAAGUAUUCACAGCACUGUUCACAGGCGCCAUAAAGGGGAAGCACUCCAGCCGUCCAUCGGCUGAUGAACGGGUGAACGAGACGUAGUGUGUCCAUCGCUAGGGAAUGCUAUCCAGCCUUAAAAAGGAGCGAGGCUCUGACACGGCACGACCUGGUGGACCUCGAGAACACUGCCGACUGAAAUACACCAGUCACUACAGGCCACACAGGGCUUCCCCGGCGGCUCAGCUGACAUGAGUCAAUGGACAUGAGUUUGAGCAGGUUCCAGGAGUUAGUGAUGGACAGGGAAGCCUGGCGUGCUGCAGUCCAUGGGGUCGCAGAGUCGGACACGACUGAGUGACUGAACUGAACUGAACCUCACAUCACUCCAGAGUUAAAGUCCUGGUGGGAGAAUCUGAUGAAUCCAGUUUGGGUUGCAUGGCCAGGUAUUUUGACUCACAGUUCCUCCAGAUGGUCUACCAUGGGGAAGAGAUGAGGAAACUGGCUCCCUGAACGGCUGAGUCACUCUCCCCAGGCCCCACGGGCAGUCAGUGGUGGAGCUGAAUCAGAGCCCAGGCCCAGUG
ensembl:lncRNA